rnacentral:tRNA from 1 species
CGGGGUGUAGCUCAGUUUGGUAUGAGCGCUUCGUUGGGGACGAAGAGGUCGCUGGUUCAAAUCCAGUCACUCCGACCA